ACAAGAUAGAUAGAUAAAUAUUAAUGAUUAUCAUUAUUUUAUUUUUUAUUGUUUAACAGAAUUAUUCUGCAGUUAUUUGUGUGGGAUUGUAAGUCUAUCAACAGUAAGUCUGUCAUAUAAUCUGUAAAAUAUCUUCCGUGUAGCUCAGACAAAAGGAAAAGAACUCGGGCUUCCCUCGGAUCCAUCAGGACCAGUAGGUAGGUGUUCCACAGAGUCUUUCAGCCUUUUGCAUUAAAAUCGCUAAAGCGACUUGAGCAAGUCUGACGUUCAUGUUCACGGCUGACGUUUUCCUUUCACAGCCCUUUACAUUCAAGGCUCGCUAAAUCUUUAGGCAGCUUGCACGUAACGGCCUGUGAAAAGGAUCAGGUGUUUUCUGGCUCAGUGGCCAACAAUAAUUUCAUCAAGCAGUCAAACUUAAAGCACUUAAGCCCAGUGAACAGUCAGCCGCACGCGGCCCAGAGAUCACUGCAGCUCUAUGGCCUCGGCUCAACGAUCUCUGUCCCGAAGAAGGAAAGUGCUUCACACAAUGCCUUCGGUGCGCUUUCAGAGACCAUGUAACUCCAUCUCCAAAGCUCGAGUUCCUCUCCUCCGCUGAAACCCGCAGAGGAUCCAGUCAAGAACAACAUCUCUGCACUGAUUUCACUCGAGCGUUACUCCUUGUCUAAGCGAUCUACUAUAAACCAUAUUCAAACUGUGUUUACAGAGAAAUCAGCAGAUGUUAACCAUUUUUAUUUUGAUCAAGAGAAUGCAAUGAGUUUAUUUUUAAGCAUCUGUGAAGUUUGACUUUUUAUGCCAUUGUAAACAUCAUGAGUGUUGGAAGCUGCCUUUGCCAUUAUGCAUUGUUACUAAACCUGUAAUAUUGUUUUUUAAUACUGUAGUUAGUACUUUAUUAAUACUUACAGAAGUGUGACAGACUGUAAAUAACCCAAUGUGAAUCAUAUUGUGCUAAUCGUGACUGAAAGCUGUAUAUAGGCUGGAGUUUGAUAGACUAAAAGAACUGUUUGGUUUUUUUUUUUUUUUUUCUUUAAAUAAUUGAAAACUUUUUUU
ensembl:lncRNA